GAUGAACGCUGGCGGCGUGCCUAAUACAUGCCAGUCGAGCGAACAGACGAGGAGCUUGCUCCUCUGACGUUAGCGGCGGACGGGUGAGUAACACGUGGAUAACCUACCUAUAAGACUGGGAUAACUUCGGGAAACCGGAGCUAAUACCGGAUAAUAUAUUGAACCGCAUGGUUCAAUAGUGAAAGACGGUUUUGCUGUCACUUAUCGAUGGAUCCGCGCCGCAUUAGCUAGUUGGUAAGGUAACGGCUUACCAAGGCGACGAUGCGUAGCCGACCUGAGAGGGUGGUCGGCCACACUGGAACUGGGACACGGACCAGACUCCUGCGGGAGGCAGCAGUAGGGAAUCUUCCGCAGUGGGCGAAAGCCUGACGGAGCAACGCCGCGUGAGUGAUAAAGGUCUUCGGAUCGUAAAACUCUGUUAUUAGGGAAGAACAAAUGUGUAAGUAACUAUGCACGUCUUGACGGUACCUAAUCAGAAAGCCACGGCUAACUACGUG
rnacentral:rRNA from 1 species